rnacentral:tRNA from 1 species
GCUCCCGUGGCCUAAUGGAUAAGGCGUUGGUCUCCUAAACCAACGAUGGGGGUUCAAGUCCCCCCGGGAGCC